CGGCGAGCGAGAGGCGGCGCUGGCGUUGGAGAGCGACGGCGGCGCGGCGGCGCCUGCGAACACCAGGGAAGCAGCCUCUAACGUUUGAGGGUCAAUCCAGAUGGAGAGAAGAUAGAGGAGAAAGAGCCGAAUGUGACCCAACCAUAGGUCAUCUCUUGCAACAUGGCACAUGCUGAAUAUUUAGCCCAGCAUUAGGAAGACAUGGAUCCAAAAGUAUUGAAAAAAUGACCAGUGUGUGUAAAGGAGACUCCGAGAUUGACUACCAGACUUCUAGAAUGAUGUAACCAUACCUACAUAGAUUGGCUCAACAUAGGCAAGAACAUUCAUCAAAAGAACAGAUUCCCAAAGAAGGCCAUUCCUAGUUUGAAGUACUUCUGAAAUCACAAAAGACAAC
rnacentral:lncRNA from 10 species